rnacentral:misc_RNA from 1 species
CAACUGGUGUGGUGCUGAGC